GAUGAACGCUGGCGGCGUGCUUAACACAUGCAAGUCGAACGAAGCACCUUGAUUUGAUUCUUCGGAUGAAGAUCUUGGUGACUGAGUGGCGGACGGGUGAGUAACGCGUGGGUAACCUGCCUCAUACAGGGGGAUAACAGUUAGAAAUGACUGCUAAUACCGCAUAAGACCACAGCACCGCAUGGUGCAGGGGUAAAAACUCCGGCGGUAUGAGAUGGACCCGCGUCUGAUUAGGUAGUUGGUGGGGUAACGGCCUACCAAGCCGACGAUCAGUAGCCGACCUGAGAGGGUGACCGGCCACAUUGGGACUGAGACACGGCCCAAACUCCUACGGGAGGCAGCAGUGGGGAAUAUUGCACAAUGGGGGAAACCCUGAUGCAGCGACGCCGCGUGAGCGAUGAAGUAUUUCGGUAUGUAAAGCUCUAUCAGCAGGGAAGAAAAUGACGGU
rnacentral:rRNA from 1 species